GCUCCAGGUUCCACCUGCCAGCCUUCCAAGAAGCCUCCUCCCUUCCUGGGGUUGCGGGGGGUUGUGCCCCAGUCAGACUGUCCGGUAACCUCCGAGAUUCACUCCACCUAAAGAGGCCAGUCCUGCUCCCAGACGCCUUAACAAGAGUGAUCCAGAGCCUCUCGUUACUUUGGGGGCCGGCCCUGGUGUUGCUUCCCGUUGAUGAGCUGACAGAGUCCCAUAGAAGUUCAUUAGCUUGUGCAUGAUCGUGACGAAGGCAAAAUCAAACCCAGUCAGUCUGACUCCGAAGUCUGUACUGUCACUCUUUCAUGCCUUCAAGGUGGAGACACUGCCACUAUUCGUAGAACCUGGGAAAAGAAAUACUCUUCAUUCUUCCCUUUCUCUCACACUUUAAACCGAACAAAUCUCAACAUUUUCUGAUUAUAACUUCAAGUACUUUUCAUUUGUGUCUCCCACAUGAAGAUUAGAAGAAAAAAAUAAAACUUAGUAUUUAUUGAUGAAAUGGUUGUCUUCAUAGAAAACCUAAAAGGAUCUAUAGAAAAAUCAUGAAAAUCAAUAAAGAGAGUUUGGCUAGGUUGCUGAAUAUAAAAUUAAUGCAGAA